rnacentral:rRNA from 1 species
CCCGCUGAACUUAAGCAUAUUACUAAGCGGAGGAAAAGAAAUUAACAAAGAUUGCCUUAGUAAGGGCGACUGAACCGGCAAGAGCUCGAAAUUGAAAUCGGAAAUUCAAUGAAUUUUCGAAUUGUAAUCAGGCCGACCUAAAUACGAGAGAUCGUUUAAGCAUGUCGAAACGUGCGCCAAGGAGGGUGAAAGCCCCGUGUUUCGUUCUCUCGAUCAAGGUAGGUCCUAAAAGAGUCGGGUUGCUUGGAACUGCAGCCCUAAGUGGGAGAUAUGAAUCUUCCAAAGCUAAAUAUGGAUGGGAGACCGAUAGCGAACAAGUACUGUGAAGGAAAGAUGAAAAGGACUUUGAAAAGAGAGUGAAAAGAUCUGAAAUCGUUGAGAAGGAAGCGGUAGAAACUGAUGGCCGUACGGACUGACAAUGCGGUGUACAACUGCAUAAGUUAUCCCAAAACGGCGGGCAAAAUGAAGUCGAAAGCGUCAAAAAAGGCUUUAGCCGUGAAGGGCGCGAUCGGCUUGAGGGACUAAUGUGAUUUUGCCAAAAUGGUUUCUACCGUCCCGUCUUGAAACACGG